rnacentral:rRNA from 1 species
UACGGGGGGUGCUAGCGUUAUUCGGAAUCAUUGGGCGUAAAGGGCGUGUAGGCGAUCUUUUAAGUCAGAUGUGAAAGCCCUCGGCUUAACCGAGGAAGUGCAUUUGAUACUAAGAGACUUGAGUAUGGGAGAGGGAAGCGGAAUUCCUGGUGUAGCGGUGAAAUGCGUAGAUAUCAGUAGGAACACCGGUGGCGAAGGCGGCUUCCUGGACCAAUACUGACGCUGAGGCACGAAGGCGUGGGGAGCAAACAGG